UACGAAGGGGGCUAGCGUUGCUCGGAAUCACUGGGCGUAAAGGUGCGUAGGCGGGUCUUUAAGUCAGGGUGAAAUCCUGGAGCUCAACUCCAGAACUGCCUUUGAUACUGAAGAUCUUGAGUUCGGGAGAGGUGAGUGGAACUGCGAGUGUAGAGGUGAAAUUCGUAGAUAUUCGCAAGAACACCAGUGGCGAAGGCGGCUCACUGGCCCGGUACUGACGCUGAGGCACGAAAGCGAUGGGGAGCAAACA
rnacentral:rRNA from 1 species